rnacentral:piRNA from 1 species
UCGAACUCAGAAAUCUGCCUGCCUCUGCCUC